ensembl:lncRNA
CUUAUCUCUUGCAAGUGCACAAUGUCUCUCUCUCUGUGUGUGUGUGUGUGUGUGUGUGGAUUCUGGGAAAUGUAGUUCGUGACGAGGAGUGACCGUGUUAUACAUUUACUUUGGCUGCAUGUUUUUGUUUGGCUUCUGAAGUAGAGCAAAGACUUGUGUAUUAUUAUUCCCUGAUCUAAUAACCUAUUCUUUCAUUGAUAAAAGCACUGGUUUUUAUACCGAAAUGCCAUGUGUCUUUUCAAGUAUAGAUGAAAGUGAAAGUAAUUUUCCUGGCUUAAUAUAGAGCUGCUCUCAGAAGACAAGACAUUCCCUGAAAAACUUUCAGAAAAAGCUAUAGGGACAGUAAAAAUAAAUAGACAUAUUUAUUAUUUAUCAAUGGAUAAAGAGGAUCAGUUUGAAUUUAAGGCCACAGAGAUCCCUCAAAAGCCAUGCACAGACAUGCUGAAGGAGGCCUAUCUGAACCUGCUCUCUCUGCGCCUGGAAUUCCAGCGUGAACAGAGCACUCCGGAGGAAGGAGCUUUCCAAACGAAUCUGGUUAAUAAAGAGAAAGACCUCAGUCUGCUCUAUGGAGCACAAAAUGUUUGUUAUUGUACACAGCUCCAGUGCUCUGCCCUCACGCAAUAAAGAUCUGCUGGUGUAUGUAGCACACAUUAUCCUGGAGGAAGAGAAGAGGCAGGGAGAGCCAGGAGCGAUGCAGGGAUGGAGGGAAGCAUGGAGGGAUGCAGUACUAAACGGGGUUCAAGAUACACUGGAGAAAGUUCAUCUGGACAGCCAUGAGCAGAACGCUUCCUGGCUGGCAGUGCAUCUGGGGCUUCUGGGUAAAGCUGUGGAGGAGGAUUUAGAGAGAGUGAAGACUGAACAUCAGACUUUAUUGUGUUUGAAACCUAUGUGUCCUGCUAUCAUGAGGCUGUAGGAGAGCAUCUAAAGAGACUUCUGGAAAAGGUGAUAGAGUGAAAGAUUACUAUGCUCUUCUAGAGUUCAUUAUUCAUCGCUACCCCAUUGAUCUGAGAGUCCAUGAGAGUGCCCUUAUAAUGGCAGAGGACCGGAACAAAAUAAAAACUUCUUACUGUGAUUGCCAAUUGAGAUAUGCUCUCUUCUUCAAAUGUGCUUGUGUCUGGGGAUGAAAUCAAACCCGAGCUUGUGUCGCUCCCUGUGCUGUCAGAGAGAAAGAUCAUGAUUGAGAGUCACCACUGAGAGCUGAACUGCAUUAUGGGUAAGAACAAACAGAAUUGGCAACAAAGUGUAGCCCUCAAUUCCCAAUGUGUCUCAUUUGAUUCAGUUUUAUCUUGAUGGUGCAGUUUUAAAAAUCAAUAAUACCACAAGAAGAUAAAUUGACCUAGAUUGAUCCAGAGCAGGCAGAUUCUCACUUCGUGACUUACUUUUCAUUCAGUUACCCAGAGGCAGUAUAUCUUCUGAUUUGAGUUUUUAUAUGUUGUCUGACUGGAUCCCUUUCAUGUAAAAGUAUAAAUGUUGUUUGACUGCUGAAUAUGCCACUAUGCUCCCGAAAUGAAUAUAAAUUAACAAGACCUAAGCCUCAACCUCA